GCUGGGCAUGGUGGUGCAUGCCUGUAAUCCCAGCUACUCCAGAGGCUGAGACAGGAGAAUUUCUUGAACCCAGGAGGCGGAGGUAGCAGUGAGCCAAGAUCGCACCACUGCAUUACAGCCUGGGUGACAAAGAAAGACUCUGUCUCAA
rnacentral:SRP_RNA from 1 species